UACGUAGGGGGCAAGCGUUGUCCGGAAUCAUUGGGCGUAAAGCGUCCGUAGGUGGCUUUUCAAGUCUGCCGUCAAAGACCGGGGCUUAACCCCAGAAAGGCGGUGGAAACUGAAUAGCUAGAGUGCAGUAGGGGUAGAGGGAAUUCCCGGUGUAGCGGUGAAAUGCGUAGAGAUCGGGAAGAACACCCGUGGCGAAAGCGCUCUACUGGACUGCAACUGACACUCAGGGACGAAAGCUAGGGGAGCGAAUGGG
rnacentral:rRNA from 1 species